rnacentral:tRNA from 3 species
GCACGAGUGGCUCAGUUGGUGGAGCACGACCUUGCCAAGGUCGGGGCCGCGGGUUCGAGUCCCGUCUCGUGCU